UACGUAGGGUGCGAGCGUUGUCCGGAAUUAUUGGGCGUAAAGGGCUCGUAGGCGGUCUGUCACGUCGGGAGUGAAAACUCAGGGCUUAACCCUGAGCCUGCUUCCGAUACGGGCAGACUAGAGGUAUGCAGGGGAGAACGGAAUUCCUGGUGUAGCGGUGAAAUGCGCAGAUAUCAGGAGGAACACCGGUGGCGAAGGCGGUUCUCUGGGCAUUACCUGACGCUGAGGAGCGAAAUUGUGGGGAGCGAACAGG
rnacentral:rRNA from 1 species